UUAGCUGUUGCCCACUGCGUGGAGGAUAAUGUCCAGGCACUUAUUACCCAGGGCUUACAAGCUGCUCACUGCUUCCUUAUCUGUCUAGGCUUUUAAAAAAGAUUUUAUUUAGUUAGUUAUGAGAGAGAGAUUGAGCACACAAGCAGGAACAAAGGCAGAGGGAAGCAGACUCCUCACUGAGCAGGGAGCCCAAUGCAGGGCUCAAUCUCAGGACCUUGGAAUCAGGACCUGAGCCAAAGAUGAUGAAUCUGAACUCCAGAGAGAUUUAAUACUUCACUGAAGAUCACACAACCAGUUUGUGGCAUUAGCCAAAAUGUUUGUUUGUUUUGCUGACCUUCAUAACUACAAUGAGCAGAUUUUUCUUCUAUUUCAUGCUACUUCCCAGUAAUCCAGCAAAGUGAAGACUGUCAUCAAUUAUCUAUUAGAUAAAGAAAACCCGAAAGAAUGUA